GCUGGCGUAGCUCAGUCCGGUAGAGCAGCUGAUUUGUAAUCAGCCGGUCGGGGGUUCGAAUCCCUUCGCCAGCUCCA
rnacentral:tRNA from 4 species